AGUGAACGCUGGCGGUAGGCCUAACACAUGCAAGUCGAACGGCAGCACAGAGGAGCUUGCUCCUUGGGUGGCGAGUGGCGGACGGGUGAGGAAUACAUCGGAAUCUACUCUGUCGUGGGGGAUAACGUAGGGAAACUUACGCUAAUACCGCAUACGACCUACGGGUGAAAGCAGGGGACCUUCGGGCCUUGCGCGAUUGAAUGAGCCGAUGUCGGAUUAGCUAGUUGGCGGGGUAAAGGCCCACCAAGGCGACGAUCCGUAGCUGGUCUGAGAGUAUGAGCAGCCACACUGGAACUGAGACACGGUCCAGACUCCUACGGGAGGCAGCAGUGGGGAAUAUUGGACAAGGGGCGCAAGCCUGAUCCAGCCAUACCGCGUGGGUGAAGAAGGCCUUCGGGUUGUAAAGCCCUUUUGUUGGGAAAGAAAUCCGGCUGGCUAAUACCCGGUUGGGAUGACGGUACCCAAAGAAUAAGCACCGGCUAACUUCGUGCCAGCAGCCGCCGUAA
rnacentral:rRNA from 1 species